rnacentral:rRNA from 1 species
GGCGUGCUUAACACAUGCAAGUCGAACGGAAAGGCCCUGCUUUUGUGGGGUGCUCGAGUGGCGAACGGGUGAGUAACACGUGAGUAACCUGCCCUUGACUUUGGGAUAACUUCAGGAAACUGGGGCUAAUACCGGAUAGGAGCUCCUGCUGCAUGGUGGGGGUUGGAAAGUUUCGGCGGUUGGGGAUGGACUCGCGGCUUAUCAGCUUGUUGGUGGGGUAGUGGCUUACCAAGGCUUUGACGGGUAGCCGGCCUGAGAGGGUGACCGGCCACAUUGGGACUGAGAUACGGCCCAGACUCCUACGGGAGGCAGCAGUGGGGAAUAUUGCACAAUGGGCGGAAGCCUGAUGCAGCAACGCCGCGUGCGGGAUGACGGCCUUCGGGUUGUAAACCGCUUUCGCCUGUGACGAAGCGUGAGUGACGGUAAUGGGUAAAGAAGCACCGGCUAACUACGUGCCAGCAGCCGCGGUGAUACGUAGGGUGCGAGCGUUGUCCGGAUUUAUUGGGCGUAAAGGGCUCGUAGGUGGUUGAUCGCGUCGGAAGUGUAAUCUUGGGGCUUAACCCUGAGCGUGCUUUCGAUACGGGUUGACUUGAGGAAGGUAGGGGAGAAUGGAAUUCCUGGUGGAGCGGUGGAAUGCGCAGAUAUCAGGAGGAACACCAGUGGCGAAGGCGGUUCUCUGGGCCUUUCCUGACGCUGAGGAGCGAAAGCGUGGGGAGCGAACAGGCUUAGAUACCCUGGUAGUCCACGCUGUAAACGGUGGGUACUAGGUGUGGGGUCCAUUCCACGGGUUCCGUGCCGUAGCUAACGCUUUAAGUACCCCGCCUGGGGAGUACGGCCGCAAGGCUAAAACUCAAAGGAAUUGACGGGGCCCCGCACAAGCGGCGGAGCAUGCGGAUUAAUUCGAUGCAACGCGUAGAACCUUACCUGGGUUUGACAUGGAUCGGGAGUGCUCAGAGAUGGGUGUGCCUCUUUUGGGGUCGGUUCACAGGUGGUGCAUGGCUGUCGUCAGCUCGUGUCGUGAGAUGUUGGGUUAAGUCCCGCAACGAGCGCAACCCUUGUUCACUGUUGCCAGCACGUUAUGGUGGGGACUCAGUGGAGACCGCCGGGGUCAACUCGGAGGAAGGUGGGGAUGACGUCAAGUCAUCAUGCCCCUUAUGUCCAGGGCUUCACGCAUGCUACAAUGGCUGGUACAGAGAGUGGCGAGCCUGUGAGGGUGAGCGAAUCUCGGAAAGCCGGUCUCAGUUCGGAUUGGGGUCUGCAACUCGACCUCAUGAAGUCGGAGUCGCUAGUAAUCGCAGAUCAGCAACGCUGCGGUGAAUACGUUCCCGGGGCUUGUACACACCGCCCGUCAAGUCAUGAAAGUUGGUAGCACCCGAAGCCGGUGGCCUAACCAUUGUGGGGGAGCCGUCGAAGGUGGGACUGGUGA